GACGAACGCUGGCGGCGUGCCUGAUACAUGCAAGUCGAACGCUUCUUUCCCCCCGAGUGCUUGCACUCAAUUGGAAAGAGGAGUGGCGGACGGGUGAGUAACACGUGGGUAACCUACCCAUCAGAGGGGGAUAACACUUGGAAACAGGUGCUAAUACCGCAUAACAGUUUAUGCCGCAUGGCAUAAGAGUGAAAGGCGCUUUCGGGUGUCGCUGAUGGAUGGACCCGCGGUGCAUUAGCUAGUUGGUGAGGUAACGGCUCACCAAGGCCACGAUGCAUAGCCGACCUGAGAGGGUGAUCGGCCACACUGGGACUGAGACACGGCCCAGACUCCUACGGGAGGCAGCAGUAGGGAAUCUUCGGCAAUGGACGAAAGUCUGACCGAGCAACGCCGCGUGAGUGAAGAAGGUUUUCGGAUCGUAAAACUCUGUUGUUAGAGAAGAACAAGGACGUUAGUAACUGAACGUCCCCUGACGGUAUCUAACCAGAAAGCCACGGCUAACUACGUG
rnacentral:rRNA from 1 species